rnacentral:rRNA from 1 species
AUUGAACGCUGGCGGCAUGCUUUACACAUGCAAGUCGAACGGUAACAGCACUUCGGUGGCUGACGAGUGGCGGACGGGUGCGUAAUACAUCGGAACGUGCCUAGUAGUGGGGGAUAACUACUCGAAAGAGUAGCUAAUACCGCAUGCGAUCUAAGGAUGAAAGCCGGGGACCUUCGGGCCUUGCGCUACUAGUGCGGCUGCUGGCAGAUUAGGUAGUUGGUGGGAUAAAAGCUUACCAAGCCGACGAUCUGUAGCUGGUCUGAGAGGACGACCAGCCACACUGGGACUGAGACACGGCCCAGACUCCUACGGGAGGCAGCAGUGGGGAAUUUUGGACAAUGGGCGAAAGCCUGAUCCAGCAAUGCCGCGUGCAGGAUGAAGGCCUUCGGGUUGUAAACUGCUGUUGUACGGAACGAAAAGCCCUCUUCUAAUACAGGAGGGUCAUGACGGUACCGUAAGAAUAAGCACCGGCUAACUACGUG